rnacentral:rRNA from 1 species
CCCUUAGAUGUUCUGGGCCGCACGCGCGCUACACUGAUGCACUCAACGAGUCUCCACCUUGACCGAAAGGUCCGGGAAACCUUCGAACUUGCAUCGUGAUGGGGAUAGAUUAUUGCAACUAUUAAUCUUCAACGAGGAAUACCUAGUAAGCGCAUGUCAUCAGCGUGCGUUGAUUACGUCCCUGCCCUUUGUACACACCGCCCGUCGCUACUACCGAUUGAAUGAUUUAGUGAGGACUUCGGACUGGGACCGAUGCGGCUUUCGGGCUGCGUCGGUAUUCUGGAAAGAUGUCCAAACUGUAUCAUUUAGAGGAAGUAAAANUCGUAACA